rnacentral:lncRNA from 1 species
CCCCCCUCCCCACGCCGCCACCGCCGUCCCAGAGCUUGGCACCCGGGCGUCCCGAGGUGCAGCCCUACCGCGAGCCGGCUCUGCGUCCCCGCAUCUUGCUGUGUGCCCCUCCCGCGCGCCCCACGCCGCCUGUGCCUCCCGAACCCCCAGCGGCGCCACGAGAGUCCCCCGUGCGCCCUGCGCCCCCCACGCGCCCGGGGGAAAGUUCCUACUCGUCAAUUUCACAUGUAAUUUACAAUAACCACCCGGAUUCUUCCGCGUCGCCUAGGAAACGGCCAGGCGAAGCGACCGCCGCCUCCACGGAGAUCAAAGCCCUGCAGCAGACCCGGAGGCUCCUGGCCAACGCCAGGGAGCGGACGCGGGUGCACACCAUCAGCGCAGCCUUCGAGGCGCUCAGGAAGCAGGGAACCCGUCAGGCCUCUGCCUGUCAUUGCGAUCUACUACCCUCCCAACCAGGAAGAAACGGCAGAGGGGGCUGUGUGGCUGCUGGCAGAGAUACAGGUUGUUUUUCCCCUCACUUGUCCACUGUGACCCCAUUCUGAGAAGCAGCUGUUGGGAUGCCCACGUUUCUGGUGAAGAAACAGGUCUUGUAAGGCCUCCUCCUUGAAGCCGGGAAGAUGUCCAAGGGACAGCCAGGCCCUCAGGCUGCCCAGUGAGUGUUUGCAGGGGCCAGGGGAGGGUCUAGCUUGGGCAGUGGAGGAGAGUGGAAUGUUUGGGGGCCUAGAAGAUCUUGUGAACAUGCCAAGAGCUGAUCCUUUGUGGAGUUUAAAGUCCAGCAGCAGGGGAGAUAGCUCAGCCAGUAAAAUGCUUGCUAUACAAACACGAGGUCCUGAGUUCAACCCCCACCUACAAAGGCAGGCAGGCUGGCGCGCAUCCCGUCGUCCCGGCACUGGGGAGGUAGAAAGGUGAGGUGGGCCUUGAUAGCCAGUCUAUUUCAGCUGAACAAGCAAGCUCCAGGUUCAGGAGAGACCUUAUUUCAAAAAUUAAGGUGGAGAGUGAUGGAGGAGGACACCUGACAUUGGUUUCUGGCCUUCAUGGACAUGCUGGAACAUACACACGUACACCCGCACAGACGUGUGCAGACACGGCUAGGCCUUAU